UGAAACAAAAAGGAGGCUAAAAGAAGGUUCCUGGCAAAAUAGUAAAUACGUAUUAUAAUGCUGCCGGCCACAAGCGUCAGACCUGGUCACCGAGUUUUUUUUUUUUUUUUUUUUUU
rnacentral:ribozyme from 1 species